AACGAACGCUGGCGGCGUGCCUAACACAUGCAAGUCGAGGGAGAAAGCCCGCAAGGGUUAGUAAACCGGCGAACGGGUGCGUAACACGUGGAUAAUCUACCUCGGUGACCGGGAUAACUGGCCGAAAGGCUUGCCAAUACCGGAUACGCCCACGUCGUCUUCGGACGACGAGGGAAAAGGUGGCCUCUGCAUGCAAGCUAUCACACCGGGAUGAGUCCGCGGCCCAUCAGCUAGUUGGCGGGGUAAUGGCCCACCAAGGCGACGACGGGUAGCUGGUCUGAGAGGAUGAUCAGCCAAACUGGAACUGAGACACGGUCCAGACUCCUACGGGAGGCAGCAGUGGGGAAUCUUGCGCAAUGGGCGAAAGCCUGACGCAGCAACGCCGCGUGUGUGAUGAAGGUCUUCGGAUCGUAAGCACUGUCGCGAGGGAAGAGAUGCGCGGGAAUAACACCCCCGCGCUAGGACGGUACCUCGAGGGGAAGCACCGGCUAACUCUGUGCCAGCAGCCGCCGUAACAC
rnacentral:rRNA from 1 species